AAACGCUUGAAGUCAGUCUUGCUUGUUGGGACUCAGCCUUGCUCUUUUGCUUGGUGUAUUUCCUAACAACGGGCCAGCAUCGAUUUUAUGUGGUGCAAAAAGGCUUGAGGAAUGUGGCACCUUUUGGUGUGUUAUAGCCUCUUGUCAUAUACAUCAUGUGGGAUCGAGGAAUGCAGCAUGCCUUUUAGGCAGGUCUUCGGACACUUUCAUGCUUAGGAUGCUGGCAUAAUGGCUUUAAACGA
rnacentral:rRNA from 1 species